rnacentral:rRNA from 1 species
AGUGAACGCUGGCGGUAGGCCUAACACAUGCAAGUCGAACGGCAGCACAGUAAGAGCUUGCUCUUACGGGUGGCGAGUGGCGGACGGGUGAGGAAUACAUCGGAAUCUACUUUUUCGUGGGGGAUAACGUAGGGAAACUUACGCUAAUACCGCAUACGACCUACGGGUGAAAGCAGGGGAUCUUCGGACCUUGCGCGAUUGAAUGAGCCGAUGUCGGAUUAGCUAGUUGGCGGGGUAAAGGCCCACCAAGGCGACGAUCCGUAGCUGGUCUGAGAGGAUGAUCAGCCACACUGGAACUGAGACACGGUCCAGACUCCUACGGGAGGCAGCAGUGGGGAAUAUUGGACAGUGGGCGCAAGCCUGAUCCAGCCAUACCGCGUGGGUGAAGAAGGCCUUCGGGUUGUAAAGCCCUUCUGUUGGGAAAGAAAAGCAGCAGGUUAAUACCCCGCUGUUCUGACGGUACCCAAAGAAUAAGCACCGGCUAACUUCGUG